AUUGAACGCUGGCGGCAGGCCUAACACAUGCAAGUCGAACGCGUGGCGGACGGGUGAGUAAUGUCUGGGAAACUGCCUGAUGGAGGGGGAUAACUACUGGAAACGGUAGCUAAUACCGCAUACCAUCAGAUGUGCCCAGAUGGGAGUAGCUUGUUGGUGGGGUAACGGCUCACCAAGGCGCCGAUCCCUAGCUGGUCUGAGAGGAUGCCCAGCCACACUGGAACGUAGAAACGGGCCAGAAUCCUACGGGAGGCAGCAGUGGGGAAUAUUUGACAAUGGGCGGAAACCUGAUGCAGCCAUGCCGCGUGUAUGAAGAAGGCUUUCGGGUUGUAAAGGACUUUCAGCGGGGAGGCGUUACCCGCAGAAGAAGCACCGGCUAACUCCGUGCCAGCCGCCGCGGUAAUAC
rnacentral:rRNA from 1 species